UGAUGCAAUACGGAAAUGCAUAGCAGUUGCUACGGCCGAUUGUAUGUUUUGGAUCAGGUGCCUUUGCUCUUAACGUACGCCAAACAUUGCAAAAGACACAGGUGGGGGAAAAGACUACACACACUCAGUGGCAGCUAAAAGCUUUAUUCUGCACUCGGCACAAUAAAGUUGAACGGAGAUGUAGUCGUCAGACCCAGUAGGCCACAAAAGUUUGCAGGACACAGGAUCUGUGAGAAAGCUGAAUUCCCACGAAGCCUGCCUACAUAACCUCAAUUUCAAGGUUUCAGUGGGUAGUAGCCUUUGCACCACGCACAGUGAUCCAUUAAAUUGGAAGCACCAUGCCUUAACCGAGAGAAAUUUACGUUCAUCGUGGAACCUGUGCCUAGUAGACUUUCCUGGUCGGCUGUACAAGAAAGCAGUCAUCAUGGUCGCUGACGAAAAAACAGCCAGGAAAGGUGCGAUGGCGAGAUGGUGGGUCCGUUGCAAUUCCAUGAUUUACAGCAUCUUGCUUGUUUGUGUUAUGCUGCCUUGCUGGUGUUGGCGAGUGCAAUGGUUGCUUCUUUCUUGCAUGCCUUUCUUAGUGCUUAUAGUUUAUCUGUCUAACACUCGUGUCACCUUUUUUUUUUUCUUCUUAAUCUGUUGCGCUGUUCACUCUAUAGAACUUAACUAGCCCAAGUCAACACCUUGCUUCUUGCUAACUCAUAUCUAGUUCCCCCUUCGUUCACAUGGUCCUGUGAUGGGGCUCACAUAAAUCUUGUUAAGCUGCUCAUUCCGAGAAAAGGUAGUUAGGUGCUGCCCUUUUUUUUUUUGCCAUAUAUGUAUCAUAGUUUAGGGCUCACUCAAGUUUUCUUAACACAAGUAGAAAUGCUAGUACUUGUAUAAAAGAACUGUUGACUGCAUUCCAUUUUUUGAAUGAAGUGAUUUCGAAGGUCUGGCACCCAUCACCUUUCCUUUACCAAAUAUUGGAGCAUGCUUCACUUGCUCCCAUUUCAAAGGCAACCUUUAUAUCAGCACGCCUGACUAACAUUUCCUUCCUAAAGCGGUUUCACGCCUGGCCUAUGUUAACACCUUCAGCUGUCACUGCUUUCGAAAGCAAUGCAAUAACCUGGGGACUUUCGAGGGACCCAUGGCUAGUCUUCAAUCUCAGCUCGACAUAGUCUUUUAUGCUUUCUUGCAAGUGUCACAUCCUGAGGAUGCAAUGACAGUGCGAGCACCAAGUGCCCCCUUAUUUUGUGAACUCGCAGUGCUCUUCAAUUUAGUCUUGAGUUGCACUGUAAAUUAUGCGCAACAUAUAAUUCAGUGUACCUCUAUCACAGUCAGUUGUUUGCAGCACGACAGCCAUGUUUAUCAAAGCAACCUAAAAUACCAGUGGUUAAAGCCUCUUACUGUACAUCAAGCCCUUUUACUAGUGGUCACUCAAGACAACGGCCCUUACUGUUGCCAGCACUACUUUUUAUGCCAAGCAAAACAAAGAUAUACAAGCCUGCUGCACCAAGCAGUUUUAAUGUGUCAAACGGUUGCUUGCAUCGCCAGAAAAUGCCGAGGGCCAAGUACUCAAGCAAUGCUGAAAGCAAUACGGAGCUGUGAAACUACUGCAAGUGUGCUUAUUAGAGCGGUAUAAGUGUGUUAAAAAGGUCUUAUUUUUCUUUCUCUUUUGAAGAGAGCUGCAGUUCACCAACUCGUGAAACUCUCAGCCAGAUGUGGCAUAUGGCUAUGAUCUCUCCAUCGUUAUUGCUCCGUGGUCCUUGUGGUAGACCUGGCACUUCUCUUGACCAGGGGUUGUGUGUGUGCCAUUGCAGAAAUCAUUGAUGCACAUUCAUUUUUGUUCACAGUACUAUGUAUCGUAGUGCAAUAUGACAUGCUAUGUGCAACUGUUUUUUCCAGAAGGGGUCUCGAAGCAUGCAUGCACAAUUUAUAUGGACACUGUAUGCUUAAAAAGCGUUUGGCUAGUGGCAUCAGAAAAGUCCAUCACUAUUGUAAAUGAGAGAAAGAAAAAGUAUGUGUACUCGACAUUCACUAAGAGCUCCUGCCCUUUCCAUUCCGAAACGGGCAUUUUCCUACACAGCUUGCGCUCGGCAAUUCCCGCAGUCCCAAACCGGGUCCUUCAGCCCAUGACCAUACUGCAAAGGCAAAAUGUGCUGUGUUAACUAUGUAAUGCCUUGGCAGUUAAUGGUGCCAAAAGGCCAAGCUUAAAGGAACCAACAACCGACAAAAAUGCACUAGGAGGUUAUGGUGGAAACGACAGGAUUGUGCUUUAUGUUGAUAGAAUAUAAACUAUAUCCAGAGACCGAUAUUAGUGACUCAAUCAGGAAUUGUAAUGUAAGACGAGAUGAAGCAACACCACUACAAAACACUAGUACUACACAGCCUCUCCGCACAAUUACAAACCAUUAUGCGUAACUUCAAGUGCAGUGUGAUUUUUGCUUGAAGUGCUCAGUCAGAUUGUAUUCGCAUUUCUGAUCUUUCCAAUGCAUACUAUGAUGUAAAAUGCUCUUGCUAAUAGAGAGUUUUAGUAUAGCGUAAGUGGCACCACGCUAUACGCGAAGAAAUAGCGGGGUCAAACUGCGCAGGGGCCAGAAGCCACGUCAGCUUUCCGUGCCUCUGCUAUUUCUUGAAUUAAGCACAAGACACUAACAGUUGCACAAAUGGUUUAGCGUGAAAAACAUGGCGGCGCCUUCGUGGAGAGAGUUCUUCGCUUCACAUCUGUCGUCGUCCUACGCUGUCUGGUCUAUUCGUUCCCCGCAGGUGCUUGCAUUUGUCUUAGACUUGUGUCGUGAUGGUUCAACAGCAAAGUAUUAAUGACAACAGGGUGCCAUUUCCUAAAUCCGUCCUCAAUUUUUCGGGGCUUUAGGCUUAACAAGAGUGGCUGUACUAUGUACAUGGCCUCCGAGAUUCGGCAGUGCCAGCAACAAAUCACGUGUAGCCCGAUCUCAAAGGCCAUAGAUCAAGAAUGUUUGUAUUUUGUUUGUAGUACAGAGGGCACCACAAGCUAAAUCAUAAUUCACAGAAAAAUGAAGUGCCACCGUAGUCAUUGGUGUGCUCACAAUAUGCAUACAUCAUUGUAUUAGACUGCCAUCUUAUGUUUGGCAAGUUUACUUGUACUAUGUCAACCUUUAUAUCUAGGUGGCGUCGCAACUGUUUGCAUUAGCAUUCCAUUCGGUUUCGCUGUUGUCAAAGACUAGUUCGUGCAGUGCUUCGAAACGUACAAUAGCACUAACGUUGCUUCACUCGCUCACGCUAACAUUUUACACUAUACUAAAGCUCUCUAGUAAGUGCCACUGCUUUUGCAUCAGUAAGCGAAACAAUAUUGCCGUUCAUUGCAUGAAAACCCACAUAAUUGCUUCUGUACAAGGUGCAAAUAUUGUUCUGCAUAAACAGCAGAGGACAAGAGUACGGCAUAAACAUGAACGUAUAAAAUUAAAAUUGUCUGCAACAAUUCAUCGCAACUGCUGCAGUAUGGGGCACUGGGCAACGUAAGCCUUUCGUUGCACUAGAGAAAUACAAGCUUAAAAGUAGGCUGCUGGUCCAUUCCAUAAUAGCCCUUUUGCCAUCGAAAUACACUCUUUGGCCAACAGCUGCGAGUAAAAUAUGCUGUCCUGCAUACAUAAUACGGAACAUGACUAUGCCAAACAGAAUUUGUUUUGUGUGUGGGUCAAGCUAAAUUGGCUAACAGCAGCAUUAAGUAUUGGCAUCUGACACCAACUCGGACAGAAUGGCACUUCAAAACAAGAACGAAAAUGGAGUUCACACAUGCACACAUUAACGUAACCUGUGCAACUUGGAUGCUUUAGUACAAGCUCAACUGCCCCCUUUAACAUUCCUCAAUUGUAUUAGUAGCCAUGCUCAAGAGAUCAAUUUCUUCAGCUGUACUGCCUGCAUAUGAGAAGAUGCAACAGCUAGAAACAGUGGAUGCACCAUGCAAAGAAAAGUACUGCCAAGUGUUUAAAUAAAUGCUUAACCAUCACAAGGAACACCAGCACGUUCCAGCCAACUUUAUUGCAGACUGAAAGUAAGAACAUUUGUGUCUAAUUCGGUGAACAGCAGGAACACUGAGAUUAAAGAUGUUGUGUACAUAUUGU
rnacentral:lncRNA from 1 species